AUUUGCUUCCUUGCCAUACUGUAAAGGAGUCCUUUAUGACUGUGAGACAUUUCGUCUUUGAGUUUAAGAACAAGGAACCUCACAGUUAACUGGUUCUUCAGCUCCAGGUGUCUUAUAGUUGAGACAAGUGUUGUGGAGGACAAAUGGUGUUUUCACUGUCAACUUCCUGGAGGAGGCCCGAGCAUCUCUGCAAUUUGGCGUCACAGCGGUGCAGCAACUGUACUUUAGUGGUUAUUUUGGAAAACAACACUUAUGCUUUGUUGUGAACAUCAACAAUCAGCAGAAUGUGACUGGGAUUAAGAGCGAGCAGAGGCGUUGAAGCAGAUAGAACGAGGGACAGCACACCUUUAUGAACAGGUUCUGUUACUAAUUCUACUGCAAACAUUCUAUUUUCUAUUCUUUUUAUUCUGCUGAUUCUGUAUCUGUCACUCGUUGACAACCACGACAAUGACAGCUAUCGUUCUAACACUGUUGCCAACUGGUUUGACAUAUUCGACUCAACAAGCAUCAGAGAGAUUUAAGGGUGGGAGCACAUGUCCAAAAUUCCCCUAGACUGAAGAGGAGGAACAGAGGAGUCCAGGAAAGUGCCUCCAAAUUCUAGACACACAUUAUUAUUAGAUACAGUAACAGCAUUUACAGCACAACAGUUUACUGAGGAAAAUGUGUCAUUAGAUGAUCAUUCACUCUCAUUUAUAAAUGUUCCAUUUUUGUCGUCUUAUUAAAUGUUCUGCUACAACCAGUCUUUUACUGUUAAUGUGUUUCAGUAACACCAGUCCGUUUAACCUCUUCAACUCAACUUUACUGAUCCCUUUGUGAAAUUUAAAAAUUCCAGCAGCAUGUUAGAAAGAAUAGCAAGCAGAUAGAAAGAGAAACAGGAAGCACAGAAAAUAUGGUUAAGUUAUUGCACUAUGGAUGAGAAUGAGGUUACUGCACCAAAUAUAUUGCACCAAGUGUCCAUUUCUGUGUGUGCAUGUGUCGCACAACUAAGUGUAAAAUGGCUGCCCUCCUUCCCUACUGUCUUC
rnacentral:lncRNA from 1 species